rnacentral:rRNA from 1 species
UACGUAGGGUGCAAGCGUUGUCCGGAAUUACUGGGCGUAAAGCGCGUGUAGGCGGCUUGUCGCGUCGGAUGUGAAAGCCCGGGGCUUAACUCCGGGUCUGCAUUCGAUACGGGCAGGCUAGAGUUCGGUAGGGGAGAUCGGAAUUCCUGGUGUAGCGGUGAAAUGCGCAGAUAUCAGGAGGAACACCGGUGGCGAAGGCGGAUCUCUGGGCCGAUACUGACGCUGAGGAGCGAAAGCGUGGGGAGCGAACAGG